AUACGUAGGGGGCGAGCGUUAUCCGGAAUUAUUGGGCGUAAAGGGCGCGUAGGCGGCCCGGUAAGUCUGGAGUGAAAGUCCUGUUUUUAAGAUGGGUAUUGCUUUGGAUACUGUCGGCUUUAUGUGGAGGAGGGGUAAGGGGAAUUCCCAUUGUAGGGGUGAAAUGCAUAGAGAUUGGGAGGAAACCCAGUGGCGAAGGCGGCUUACUGGACUGUAACUGACGCUGAGGCACGAAAGUGUGGGGAGCAAACAGGAUUAGAUACCCUGGUAGUCCACACUGUAAACGAUGAAUGCUAGGUGUAGGGGGUAUCGACCCCUUCUGUGCCGCAGUCAACACAAUAAGCAUUCCGCCUGGGGAGUACGGCCGCAAGGUUGAAACUCAAAUGAAUUGACGGGG
rnacentral:rRNA from 1 species